AACAGAAGAUCAGUGAUGAAACCAUCCUGAUCUGCUCUGUAUCAUCAUUUGGUGGAUGUUCUCACUCAGUGAAGUGGCUGUAUGAUAACAAAGAUGAUGUAAAUAUCAAAACCAUAACUCCUCCUCAGUCUGCCUGUUCAGCCACUGUGAGCUUCACAACUUCUCCUCAUGUUUCCACAUCAAAACGUUCUGAGUUAUUCAGAUGUCAAGUUAAAACUCGAGGAGACAUGAAGGAGUUUAGCUUCAGGAUUUCACCUCAGAGAGAAAAAACAGGUACAAUGCAAGCAACUAAAGUGAUGACAACAUUCUCAACAACUUGGAAAACAACUAUAACAACAACUAAGGCACUUCCAGCAGCAACUACAACAACAACAACAAACAUGGCAGCAGCACAGUCUACAAUCACAAUCUCAAUCAAACGCAAAACAGGAAGUGAUUCAUCAAACUCUAAUGGUGGAUUGAAACUGAGGUUCCUCGUUGUGUUUUUGGGUUUAGCUGCUCUCCUAGCAGCUGUUGUGGCCGUCAACAUCUGGACAAAGA